UACGGGGGGGGCAAGCGUUGUUCGGAAUUACUGGGCGUAAAGGGCGCGUAGGCGGCCUGCUAAGUCGGAUGUGAAAUCCCUCGGCUCAACCGAGGAACUGCAUCCGAUACUGGCGGGCUUGAAUCCAGGAGAGGGAUGUGGAAUUCCAGGUGUAGCGGUGAAAUGCGUAGAUAUCUGGAGGAACACCGGUGGCGAAGGCGGCAUCCUGGACCGGUAUUGACGCUGAGGCGCGAAAGCUAGGGGAGCAAACGGG
rnacentral:rRNA from 1 species